AUAUUUACUUGGCAGGGAGGUACCUUCAUUAUGAAAGAGGUUUUCUUAUGUGGAGUUUUAUCUAUUGUAUUCCGGGUGUACUGAUUUUUGCGGUGUUCCCAAGUGGGGAGAACUUGCCUGUAUGAUUCGUGGAAGUGGGGGACACUGUUCACGCUUUCCUCUG